AGGCUUAACACAUGCAAGUCGAGGGCAUUGGAGCUUGCUUCAGAUGACGACCGGCGCACGGGUGAGUAACGCGUAUGCAACCUACCUCAAACAGGGGAAUAGCUCAGGGAAACCUGGAUUAAUGCCCCGUAAUAUUUAAAACUGGCAUCAGUUUAAAAUUAAAGCUCCGGCGGUUUGAGAUGGGCAUGCGUGACAUUAGCUAGUUGGUAAGGUAAAGGCUUACCAAGGCAACGAUGUCUAGGGGUUCUGAGAGGAUGAUCCCCCACACUGGUACUGAGACACGGACCAGACUCCUACGGGAGGCAGCAGUGAGGAAUAUUGGUCAAUGGGCGCAAGCCUGAACCAGCCAUCCCGCGUGUAGGAAGACUGCCCUAUGGGUUGUAAACUACUUUUAUAAAGGAAGAAACCCUUCUACGUGUAGAAGGCUGACUGUACUUUACGAAUAAGCACCGGCUAACUCCGUGCCAGCAGCCGCGGUAAUACGGAGGGUGCAAGCGUUAUCCGGAUUUAUUGGGUUUAAAGGGUGCGUAGGCGGGCCUUUAAGUCAGUGGUGAAAUCCUGCAGCUUAACUGUAGAACUGCCAUUGAUACUGAAGGCCUUGAGUAUAGUUGAGGUAGGCGGAAUGUGUAAUGUAGCGGUGAAAUGCUUAGAUAUGACACAGAACACCAAUUGCGAAGGCAGCUCACUAAACUAUCACUGACGCUGAGGAACGAAAGCGUGGGGAGCGAACAGGAUUAGAUACCCUGGUAGUCCACGCCGUAAACGAUGAUUACUCGUUGUUGGCAAUACAUCGUCAGCGACUGAGCGAAAGCAUUAAGUGAUCCACCUGGGGAGUACGGUCGCAAGAAUGAAACUCAAAGGAAUUGACGGGGGCCCGCACAAGCGGAGGAACAUGUGGUUUAAUUCGAUGAUACGCGAGGAACCUUACCUGGACUUAAAUGCAAGACGACCGUUCUGGAAAGGCGUUCUCCCUUUCGGACGGUCUGCAAGGUGCUGCAUGGUUGUCGUCAGCUCGUGCCGUGAGGUGUCGGGUUAAGUCCCAUAACGAGCGCAACCCCUAUUGUUAGUUGCCAGCGGAUAAUGCCGGGGACUCUAACGAGACUGCCACCGUAAGCUGUGAGGAAGGUGGGGAUGACGUCAAGUCAGCACGGCCCUUACGUCCAGGGCUACACACGUGCUACAAUGGCCAGUACAAAGGGCAGCUACUUGGCGACAAGAUGCUAAUCCCCAAAGCCGGUCUCAGUUCGGAUCGGAGUCUGCAACUCGACUCCGUGAAGUUGGAUUCGCUAGUAAUCGGAUAUCAGCCAUGAUCCGGUGAAUACGUUCCCGGGCCUUGUACACACCGCCCGUCAAGCCAUGGAAGCUGGGGGUGCCUGAAGUCUGUCACCGAAAGGAGCGGCCUAGGGUAAAACCGAUAACUAGGGGCUAAG
rnacentral:rRNA from 1 species